AUUGAACGCUGGCGGCAGGCCUAACACAUGCAAGUCGAGCGGAGCGGCGGACGGGCGGGUGAUGCCUAUGUAUCUGCCUGGUCGUGGGGGAUAACGUCCGGAAAGGGGCGGUAAUACCGCAUAUUAUCAGAUGAGUCAAGGUCGGAUUGGCUAGUUGGUGGGGUAGAGGCUUACCAAGGCGACGAUCCGUAACUGGUCUGAGAGGAUGAUCAGUCACACUGGGACUGAGACACGGUCCAGACUCCUACGGGAGGCAGCAGUGGGGAAUAUUGGACAAUGGGCGAAAGCCUGAUGCAGCCAUGCCGCGUGUGUGAAGAAGGUCUUAGGAUUGUAAAGUACUUUAAGUUGGGAGGCGUUACCAACAGAAGAAGCACCGGCUAACUUCGUGCCAGCAGCCGCGGUAAUUC
rnacentral:rRNA from 1 species